ACUCCUACGGGAGGCAGCAGUGGGGAAUAUUGCACAAUGGGCGCAAGCCUGAUGCAGCCAUGCCGCGUGUAUGAAGAAGGCCUCGGUUGUAAGUACUUUCUAGCAGUGAGGAAGGUGGGUAGUGUUAAUAGCAUAUUCAUUUUGUACGUUUAGCUGCAGAAGAAGACACCGGCGUAACUCCGUGCCAGCAGCCGCGGUAAUACGGAGGUGCGAGCGUUAAUCGGAUUACUGGCGUAAAGCGCAUGCAGGUGGUUUGUUAAGUUCAGAUGUGAAAGCCGGGGCGUCAACCUCGGAAUUGCAUUUGAAACUGGCAAACUAGAGUACUGUAGAGGGGGUAGAAUUUCAGGUGUAGCGGUGAAAUGCGUAGAGAUCUGAAGGAA
rnacentral:rRNA from 1 species